rnacentral:rRNA from 1 species
UAGGGAAUCUUCCACAAUGGGCGGCAAGCCUGAUGGAGCAACGCCGCGUGAGUGAAGAAGGUCUUCGGAUCGUAAAACUCUGUUGUUAGAGAAGAACAUGCAGGAGAGUAACUGUUCUCGUAUUGACGGUAUCUAACCAGAAAGCCACGGCUAACUACGUGCCAG